rnacentral:rRNA from 1 species
UGUUUCGGCUAGGGGGCCAUCCCGGCUUACCAACCCGAUGCAAACUGCGAAUACCGGAGAAUGUUAUCACGGGAGACACACGGCGGGUGCUAACGUCCGUCGUGAAGAGGGAAACAACCCAGACCGCCAGCUAAGGUCCCAAAGUCAUGGUUAAGUGGGAAACGAUGUGGGAAGGCCCAGACAGCCAGGAUGUUGGCUUAGAAGCAGCCAUCAUUUAAAGAAAGCGUAAUAGCUCACUGGUCGAGUCGGCCUGCGCGGAAGAUGUAACGGGGCUAAACCAUGCACCGAAGCUGCGGCAGCGACGCUGAUGCGUUGUUGGGUAGGGGAGCGUUCUGUAAGCCUGCGAAGGUGGCCUGUGAGGGUUGCUGGAGGUAUCAGAAGUGCGAAUGCUGACAUAAGUAACGAUAAAGCGGGUGAAAAGCCCGCUCGCCGGAAGACCAAGGGUUCCUGUCCAACGUUAAUCGGGGCAGGGUGAGUCGACCCCUAAGGCGAGGCCGAAAGGCGUAGUCGAUGG